rnacentral:rRNA from 1 species
GGCAAGCGUUGUCCGGAAUUAUUGGGCGUAAAGAGCUCGUAGGCGGUUUGUCGCGUCUGUCGUGAAAGUCCGGGGCUUAACCCCGGAUCUGCGGUGGGUACGGGCAGACUAGAGUGCAGUAGGGGAGACUGGAAUUCCUGGUGUAGCGGUGAAAUGCGCAGAUAUCAGGAGGAACACCGGUGGCGAAGGCGGGUCUCUGGGCCGAUACUGACGCUGAGGAGCGAAAGCGUGGGGAGCGAACAGGAUUAGAUACCCUGGUAGUCCACGCUGUAAACGGUGGGUACUAGGUGUGGGGUCCAUUCCACGGGUUCCGUGCCGUAGCUAACGCUUUAAGUACCCCGCCUGGGGAGUACGGCCGCAAGGCUAAAACUCAAAGGAAUUGACGGGGGCCCGCACAAGCGG